GUCUACAACCAUACCAUCCUGAACGUGUCCGAUCUCAUCUGGUCUCGGAAGCUAAGCAAGGUUGGGCCUCCUGGUUAGUACUUGCAUGGGCAGAACUAAGAUAUUGCUUUGUAAGUU
rfam:Heterocephalus glaber contig78221, whole genome shotgun sequence.